rnacentral:rRNA from 1 species
AACGAACGCUGGCGGCGUGCCUAACACAUGCAAGUCGUGCGAGAAAGUUCCUUCGGGAGCGAGUAAAGCGGCGCACGGGUGAGUAACACGUAGGUAACCUGCCCUCCAGUCUGGAACAACUAGAGGAAACUCUAGCUAAUGCCGGAUGAGACCACGAUCCCUUCGGGGGUUGCGGCCAAAGAUGGUCUCUACUUGUAAGCUAUCGCUGAGGGAUGGGCCUGCGGGCCAUUAGCUUGUUGGUGAGGUAACGGCUCACCAAGGCUGUGAUGGCUAGCUGGUCUGAGAGGAUGACCAGCCACACUGGGACUGAGACACGGCCCAGACUCCUACGGGAGGCAGCAGUGGGGAAUAUUGCGCAAUGGGCGAAAGCCUGACGCAGCGACGCCGCGUGGGGUGAUGAAGGCCUCGGGUCGUAAAGCCUGUCGCAGGGAAGAAGU